rnacentral:rRNA from 1 species
UACAGAGGGUGCAAGCGUUAAUCGGAAUUACUGGGCGUAAAGCGUGCGCAGGCGGUUUUGUAAGUCUGUCGUGAAAGCCCCGGGCUCAACCUGGGAAUUGCGAUGGAGACUGCAAGGCUUGAAUCUGGCAGAGGGGGGUAGAAUUCCACAUGUAGCAGUGAAAUGCGUAGAGAUGUGGAGGAACACCGAUGGCGAAGGCAGCCCCCUGGGUCAAGAUUGACGCUCAUGCACGAAAGCGUGGGGAGCAAACAGG